rnacentral:rRNA from 1 species
CACGUAGGGGCCAAGCGUUGUCCGGAAUUACUGGGCGUAAAGAGCUCGUAGGUGGUUUGUCGCGUUGUUCGUGAAAACCGGGGGCUUAACCCUCGGCGUGCGGGCGAUACGGGCAGACUUGAGUACUGCAGGGGAGACUGGAAUUCCUGGUGUAGCGGUGGAAUGCGCAGAUAUCAGGAGGAACACCGGUGGCGAAGGCGGGUCUCUGGGCAGUAACUGACGCUGAGGAGCGAAAGCGUGGGGAGCGAACAGG